AGAGUUUGAUCAUGGCUCAGAACGAACGCUGGCGGCGUGCUUAACACAUGCAAGUCGCGUGCGCAGUCUGUAGCAAUACAGAUCGGCGCACGGCGCACGGGUGCGUAACACGUGGGCAAUCUGCCCUCCGAUGGGGAAUAACCCCGCGAAAGCGGGGCUAAUACCGCAUAACAUUCCUUGAGCGAUGGUUCGAGGAUUCAAAGCAGCAAUGCGUCGGAGGAGGAGCCCGCGCCCGAUUAGCUAGUUGGUGAGGUAACGGCUCACCAAGGCAAUGAUCGGUAGCUGGUCUGAGAGGAUGAUCAGCCACACUGGAACUGAGACACGGUCCAGACUCCUACGGGAGGCAGCAGUGGGGAAUCUUGCACAAUGGGCGAAAGCCUGAUGCAGCGACGCCGCGUGGGGGAUGAAGCUUUUCGGAGUGUAAACCCCUUUCGCCUGGGACGAAUGCCCGCAAGGGAGUGACGGUACCAGGAUAAGAAGCCCCGGCUAACUACGUGCCAGCAGCCGCGGUAAGACGUAGGGGGCCAGCGUUGUUCGGAAUUACUGGGUGUAAAGGGUUCGUAGGCGGUGCGGCAAGUCGGGAGUGAAAUCUCUGGGCUCAACCCAGAGGCUGCUUCCGAAACUGCUGUGCUUGAGUGUGAGAGAGGCUCGUGGAAUUGCAGGUGUAGCGGUGAAAUGCGUAGAUAUCUGCAGGAACACCCGUGGCGAAAGCGGCGAGCUGGAUCACUACUGACGCUGAGGAACGAAAGCUAGGGGAGCAAACAGGAUUAGAUACCCUGGUAGUCCUAGCCCUAAACGAUCAGGACUCGGGGUGCCGCCCGUUCGGGCGUCGUCCCGGAGCUAACGCGUUAAGUCCUGCACCUGGGGAGUACGGUCGCAAGACUGAAACUCAAGGAAUUGACGGGGCCCGCACAAGCGGUGGAACAUGUGGUUCAAUUCGACGCUACGCGAGGAACCUUACCUGGGCUCGAAAUG
rnacentral:rRNA from 1 species